ensembl:lncRNA
UACAAAUACACGUUUAGAGCACAAACCCUCUAAGAUCUAUCAAAGAAAAUGCAUUUACACACAAAUACACACACAAAGAGGUAUAAAGUAUAUUAUAGGCUAAUAUAAAUAGUGUCAAGUAACAAAUUAAAAGCCAUAUUUACUGAAUAAAAAUGUUAUUACCAAAUGUGUUUGACUUUUAUUUUCAGUGGGGCACAAAAGUAGAUGCAAAACAGAACUUUAAGAGACUGACAGCUUCAGUCAUGGUUCACUAUCAUUACUUUUCUAAAAAAAAAAAAAAAAAAAAAAAAAAAUUCUUACCCUUGUAUAAAAGAGAGAGGCACAUUUUCAUUUGCAAUUAAAACUUGAGUUCUUUGUAAUAUCAGGGAUGUGAACUAUUCAGGUCAGGUUUGAAAAAGGUGACAAUGUAACCCACAAUAGACAGACAAAUAACUAAGACAAUAAAGUUAAUUUUUAGUUGCUUUUUUAUACAUUUACCAUCACUCCAUUAUUACAUUUCUCUCAAGUUUGGGGGUAUUAUCUUUUGUAUAUUUUAAUAUAAAAUGGCAACAUUUGAUGUAAAAUAUGUAUUCCUUAUCUUUUUAUUAUGUAAAUAACAUGUAAAAUAUGCCUUGUGCUAUUUAGCAUGUGCUAUUUAACUAAUGCACUUUUAAAAACUCUUUGGAUCUACACAAAUCAUGCAAAUGAUUUUUGGAUUCAAAAUGACUAUUUUUACUUAAAGGUGAUAAGUUUGCAUCCCCUGAAUAUUCAGUUGUUAAUGUCCUUUUGUUAUAUUUGCAUACAGUACAUCUAUAGUACAUUCGAGACACUUUGUAUAUUAUUGUAACAAAAUUGAGCACCUGUGACAGUGGAAUUUGUAUUUGUAGAGAAUAUUUCAAUAAAGUCAUCAAGAAAAUGUUUUUGGAGUUGCAAGCUUGUAUUUUGUUUCUUUCUCUCUAACAAACACAACAAAACCUUCUCAAAAAUCUUCAUUGCAGGUGCAUAAAUCCUAUUCUACAAAUCACAAAUUAAGAAAUUCACAGGCUCAGUUAUACCAGAUUUAUGCAGGACUGUAUUUCAUUUUGGUCAUAUUAUUGAAUUAUUUUUUCCUGAAAUGUGUGUUUAUUAGAACUGGACAUAUUUACAGACUUUAUGAGAAUAGUAGUAUUUGUAGAUAAGAUCAUGGUAGAAUGACUUGCCUUUCUCAGUUCGAGCAUCUGAGUCUUCAGCCAUUUUCCAAAAACAUUAAAGACACCUCUUUUUCCAUCAGCACCUGAUCAAUUAAUACUAGCACUUACCUUUUCUAUUCAGUUCAAUCCUAUUUUAUUCAGUUUGCUCUUAUUUGUAAAAAAAAUAAAAAAAAUAAAAUAAUAUAAAUAAAUAACUUGUAACUAAAUGUGUACUGUGCUAGACUAAAGCCCCUUUCACACUGCACGGUGGUCCCAAAAAAUUGCUGGAAAAUUGCCAAAGUGCCUUCUGUGUGAACGCAAACACGUCCCGGGAUUGAUUCCGGGACUGAUCCUGGUUUGGGGACCUAGGAACAUUGCUGGGUUCAGUCCCGGAACGAGCUCUGUGUGAACAAAAGCCAGAACCAAUGGCGUAAAGGGUGUGUCGUAGUGAUGACGCACGUUAUCAUGCGACUCUUUUACCGGGUGUUUUGACGGCAGAUCAACAUUCGUGACGAAAAAAUAUGUGCAAACUGUAAUGAAGCAGAGAUCAGUUAGUUCCUCACUAUCCGUGCUAAAGCUGAGAUCGUUCGCCAGCUUAAGUGAAACAAAACACGUCGCAUCGUAAUGUCAUGUGUCUUUACGGGAUCUUUAUGGGUUGUGUGUGACACACAGAUUCCAGAAAAUCACUGCCAGUGUAAAUGAACCACAAUCAAAGGAUCCUGGAACACAUUAUCCGUGUAUUUUCCGGAAUUUCUGUGUGGAAGAUGCUUUAUACAUAAACAACAAUGUCCCUAGUAGCUGAUCAGCUGCCAUGUUUAUAAAGCAUUGAAAACACUUCUGCUUUGCUUCUUCUCCUUCUUCCGUUUAUUGGCGGCCUAGCAUUUUUAACUCAUACAUUACACAUCACAUCCUGAUGUCUCGUGUCAUUACGGGACCUUUAUGGGUUGUGUGUGAACGCUAUCACUGGCAGUGUGAAUGAACCAAAAUCUAACAAUCCGGGAACAAUUGCCGGGACACAUUACCCGUGUUUUAUCCGGAAUCUCAGUGUGAAAGAGGCUAAACUGAGCACUUUUAUACUGUUGUUCUCUUAUUUGUAGAAUAGGAUUUGUGCACCUCAGAAUUCGAAAUGGUGUAACUGUUGUGUUGUGUUUGCUGGAGAGAAUUAAUAAAAAAUAAAAAAUAAAAAUAAAAAUAUUGCUAGUACUAAAAAAAAUUAUCUGUAACUUUAAAUUUACCAAUAUGCAUGUGUGACUAUUCAUUACAACUAUUCCACUGUCACAGAACAUGGUAGUAAGUCAGUUAUCCAUGCAAAAGCAGAGAGGUCAGUGUGGUGUACUGUAGGUACAGCUGUCCAGACCAACAUCUGAUGUUCUG